AUUGAACGCUGGCGGCAGGCCUAACACAUGCAAGUCGAGCGAGCGGCGGACGGGUGAGUAAUGUCUGGGAAACUGCCUGAUGUCGGGGGAUAACUACUGGAAACGGUAGCUAAUACCGCAUACCAUCAGAUGUGCCCAGAUGGGAUUAGCUGGUGGGUGGGGUAACGCCUCACCUAGGCGACGAUCCCUAGCUGGUCUGAGAGGAUGACCAGCAACAUUGGACCUGAGAACCGGCCCAGAUUCUACCGGGAGGCAGCAGUGGGGAAUAUUCGACAAUGGGCGCAAGCCUGCUGCGGCCCGGCCGCGUGGGUGAAGAAGGCCUUCGGGUGGUAAAGCCCUUUCAUCGGGGCGGCGUUACCCGAAGAAGAAGCACCGGCUAACUCCGUGCCAGCAGCCGCGGUAAUUC
rnacentral:rRNA from 1 species